AGAAUGGCAGGUCUGGGGAGCAGGAAGAACAAACAUGGACAGGGAGAAGUAAUGCAGAGAGCUGGAGAUGAGAGUGUGGCUGUAGAGAGGGAUUGAGGAGCAGACUGUGACACUGGUUGCCUCAUCUGAAGUGGCUGCUGGCCUUUAACUUGAAACUUUUUCAUAGUGGGAAGGCCAGCCAGAUAUGGCUGACAAUCCUGUUGCUCUCCUCACUGUGGUUUCUGACAACACUACUGGUGUGGUCCACUUCAGCCCUGAGAGCCUCUCUGUUGUAGUCGAAGAUGAAAUUGCUGGUGAAAAAUAUGUGGGAAAGAGCCAUAAUGCACAGACAGAGUGAGACAUUCACACAUACUGUAUAAUUUUCUCACUAUUUACUAAUAAACAGUGCUGCAUGAAAAUUACAUUGUGAUUUAAGGUGGUGCAGUCACUUUUCACAUAGGAAUAAAUUAAUUUCCACAACUGUACAU